ACGCACGCUGGCGGCGUGCUUAACACAUGCAGGUCGAACGGAAAGGCCCUGCUUGCAGGGUACUCGAGUGGCGAACGGGUGAGUAACACGUGGGUGAUCUGCCCUGCACUUCGGGAUAAGCCUGGGAAACUGGGUCUAAUACCGGAUAGGAGCCAUUUUUAGUGUGAUGGUUGGAAAGUUUUUUCGGUGUAGGAUGAGCUCGCGGCCUAUCAGCUUGUUGGUGGGGUAAUGGCCUACCAAGGCGGCGACGGGUAGCCGGCCUGAGAGGGUGGACGGCCACAUUGGGACUGAGAUACGGCCCAGACUCCUACGGGAGGCAGCAGUGGGGAAUAUUGCACAAUGGGCGCAAGCCUGAUGCAGCGACGCCGCGUGGGGGAUGACGGCCUUCGGGUUGUAAACUCCUUUCGCUAGGGACGAAGCUUUUUGUGACGGUACCUAGAUAAGAAGCACCGGCUAACUACGUG
rnacentral:rRNA from 1 species